AGAGUUUGAUCCUGGCUCAGAUUGAACGCUGGCGGCAUGCCUUACACAUGCAAGUCGAGCGGCAGCGCGGGGGCAACCCUGGCGGCGAGCGGCGAACGGGUGAGUAAUACAUCGGAACGUGUCCAGUAGUGGGGGAUAACCAGUCGAAAGAUUGGCUAAUACCGCAUACGAUCCACGGAUGAAAGCGGGGGACCGCAAGGCCUCGCGCUAUUGGAGCGGCCGAUGUCCGAUUAGCUAGUUGGUGGGGUAACGGCCCACCAAGGCGACGAUCGGUAGCUGGUCUGAGAGGAUGAUCAGCCACACUGGAACUGAGACACGGUCCAGACUCCUACGGGAGGCAGCAGUGGGGAAUUUUGGACAAUGGGCGCAAGCCUGAUCCAGCCAUGCCGCGUGAGUGAAGAAGGCCUUCGGGUUGUAAAGCUCUUUCGGCGGGGACGAAACGGUUCGUGACAACACCACGGACUAAUGACGGUACUCGCAGAAGAAGCACCGGCUAACUACGUGCCAGCAGCCGCGGUAAUACGUAGGGUGCAGGCGUUAAUCGGAAUUACUGGGCGUAAAGCGUGCGCAGGCGGCUCCUUAAGUCAGAUGUGAAAGCCCCGGGCUUAACCUGGGAACUGCGUUUGAAACUGAGGAGCUGGAGUGUGGAAGAGGGGGGUGGAAUUCCAGGUGUAGCAGUGAAAUGCGUAGAGAUCUGGAGGAACACCGAUGGCGAAGGCAGCCCCCUGGGCUAACACUGACGCUCAUGCACGAAAGCGUGGGGAGCAAACAGGAUUAGAUACCCUAGUAGUCC
rnacentral:rRNA from 1 species